rnacentral:rRNA from 1 species
GACGAACGCUGGCGGCGUGCCUAAUACAUGCAAGUCGAACGCUUCUUUUUCCACCGGAGCUUGCUCCACCGGAAAAAGAGGAGUGGCGAACGGGUGAGUAACACGUGGGUAACCUGCCCAUCAGAAGGGGAUAACACUUGGAAACAGGUGCUAAUACCGUAUAACAAUCGAAACCGCAUGGUUUUGAUUUGAAAGGGGCUUUCGGGUGUCGCUGAUGGAUGGACCCGCGGUGCAUUAGCUAGUUGGUGAGGUAACGGCUCACCAAGGCCACGAUGCAUAGCCGACAUGGGAGGGUGAUCGGCCACAUUGGGACUGAGACACGGCCCAAACUCCUACGGGAGGCAGCAGUAGGGAAUCUUCGGCAAUGGACGAAAGUCUGACCGAGCAACGCCGCGUGAGUGAAGAAGGUUUUCGGAUCGUAAAACUCUGUUGUUAGAGAAGAACAAGGAUGAGAGUAACUGUUCAUCCCUUGACGGUAUCUAACCAGAAAGCCACGGCUAACUACGUGCCAGCCGCCGCGGUAA